UCCCUUGGGUCCUGUCACUGGUCCCCACAGAGAAGAGAUCAGUGCCUGCCCCUCUUCUUCCCCUCAUGAGGAAUUUAUCACUAAUUAGUGAUAAUCAUUGCUGUGGAGCGAUAGGGUGGGAUAGGAGCACAGCCUUUACUGAAAUUCCUCAGGGUGAAAUAAUGCCAUUUCUGUCUGCAUAGAAGCAUUUGCCAAAGCUUGUCCUUUGGGUUGGUAUUUUGUUAAAACAGAACACCAGACCAGUAAUGUCGAACUAUGCUAUGUUAGUGUCCAUAGGCAGAUAUUUAAGUCAGUUUGAAAAGAAAAAAAGACUUAUUUUGAUUUUCUGUGUAGAAAAAUACAUUUCAGUUUAAGAGGUCAUGUUAAAGUAAAAUAUUUACCCAAACUAAAAUUCUUUUGCCAUUUCAGUUUGUGGAAACACGGAGCCCCUUAGGCAAUACAGUGUUUGAAGAUGGCUUUCAUAUGUGGAACUCUUGGUUACUUCCCAGCUCAGGUUCACAGGUUGGUAUGGGUCAAAAUUAUCACAAGAACUAUUUGAAGACCAUAGCAAUUAAAUAUUUUUAUGGCUUAUUAUCAUAUUCUAAAUACUAAAUGGUUCUGAGAAAUAGUCUCAGAGAGAUUUGAUAGCUGACCCACAGACUGUGCACUGCCUUUUGCAUACAUACUUAAGCUACUAGUAUUUCUAGGAAGCUAUAUUUUAUUAAUUCAUUAUUAUUUUAUUGAUGUUCAAUUGAUGUCUUAUUAAAUAUAAAUUACAUAUUAGGGAAUAAUACUGUAAUGGGAUGAGGCAGGUGAGAUUCCCUGAGGAUGGUUUAUAAUGAAGCCUCAAAUUGUUAAUAAUCCUAAACUCAUAAAUAAAUUAUUAUGGGUGAAACAAAGGCAAAAAUACUGAAAUAAGCUAUGAAAAUGUUAAGUGGGGGUGAAGAGACACAUAAUCUGCUGGGAGAUCUGUGUGAUAACAUACAUUUGGCACUAAGUCACAUAAGUCAGAUUCACAUCAGUGUCCCCCACUCCUUCCCAUCCUUUAGCAUGUAGGUGUGGAUCUACCGCUCGUUUCCCAUUAUUAUGCUGCGCCAUCCUGUUCCCAGACGUUUUGCUUUGCCUGGGAACACUGUUAAUUUAACGCGCUCAGCUGACCUCAGAGGCACUGAAAUGACACGGCAGCAGCAGCCCAGAGUGCUGCAGCAUAUCCUGCUGUUCACAGAGCUACUGGGGAGAACAGGGACUUUUCUGGACACUUUUCUGUGAACUCUUCUGGGAAAAGUCAGGGGGAGCUGUCUCUUUGACCACACCGUGUCGGGAAGGACACAUCCUCUCACUUAGCUGUAUCUUUCAUCUUUUCCAUGGAAGACAGAUUUCCCUGUUGCUCCUCUGUUUUUCUUGAAGAGUUAGCAAGGAGACCAUAGAUCUCCCUUAGAUAAGAAAAGAAAGAAAGGAGGACCUACCUUUAUGUAAGGAAAGAAGGAUGGAAAGAAUGAGAGGAUUCUGGUAGUGUAUUUUCUGGUUUGUUUGGGGUUUUUUGGAUCCCAGAUUCCACAAAAACCUUAAGAGAUCUGAAACCUUAAUUUCUUCAGCAAAAACAGCACCGUUAUCACAGCCUUGAAAGACAGAGCUAAAUCCCAGGGGAGUACUCAGUAUCUGUGUUUUAUACUCACUGUAGUGGGAAUUGCAGAAACUCAGCACUUUGUGAAAUGCUGCUGUAAUUUGAAGAGUUAAGUCACGCAGCAGGUUAGUAAAUGUAAAGAAGUUUAGUGCCAAAAAUUAAUUUUGUGAUAUUUCUACAAGUGGACAUGCAAAAGUCUGAAAAUCUGUCCCUGUUACAUUCAGGUAGUGCUGACGGAGGCAUUCACAUAGGGAUUUGGAUGUAUCCAAUGUGGAAUUUGGUACAAAGUAAUUUUGGAUAGUUUGGUAGAUGGUUUUCCUGUAACAUUAAAGCUGAGGGCCCUCUUGUUACUUGUGUGGUGUUUUGGAAAAAAAAAAUUAAAUUGUUUUAGAAACUGAACAAAGAGAUGAUUUAGUCACUGGUUUAGGCUUUUGCCUAAAAUUAUAUUCCAGGAACUUGAUGAUAUCGAAUGGCCAAAGGGUCACAAACUAGAAAUUUGGGUUAAUAUAAGGUACAGAAAAAAGACAAAUAUGCUGCUUUUCUGAUGUGAGAGACCUUGGUUGCUAGGAGGAAAGUAUUCAAGUGUUUGCCUACAUUUUGCUGGGGUUUUAACAGUGUGGAAUAAAUAGAUAACACCAUGCCUUUUAAAUAAUGUUUUCUUAAAUAGCGAAGCUAUUACCUAAUGAAGAAAUUGCAGUAAUCACAUCUCCAUAAAAGGGGGGAGUUACGGUAUCUAUGUAAUUAAAAUGCUGUUCUUUUCCAAACAUAAAUCUGCUGAUGAAUACAUUUUUCUGUAUUUUUGUAAUUGGAGAUUUUGAAAUCAACUUGUUGUUAAAACGCAGAAAAUUCUAUUGCCUCUCCAUAAUAGAAUAAAGACAGAGAAGUCACAUGUGUGAUUUACAGCAUCUGUAGCAAAAUUAUAUUCUUUCUGGUAGUUACAAAUGGUUAUUCCUGUGCAUCUGCCAGGAGGCCAACGGGUAUGGAAAACAGAUCCAGCUUGAAUCAUUCUUCACUUUUCCCCUGGUGUGCCAGGCCAGCAGGGUCUGUUGGAACUGUUGGCCAGUUCUUGUCCAUGCACUGGCUGACACUUCUCUAGGGAACCACAUUAAGCAAUUCCUUGGGUCACCAGAGAUGUCUGUGCCUCCUCCUUCAUGUGCCAACACAGGCUGGGCUUGGAAGAAGGUCCUGCCCUGCUCUUGAUGUUGUUUGCCCUCUCCUCAGAUUUCUUACGACUCGUGUCAGCAAGACAAACAGCCAUUCCCAUUUAGGAAUUAGAGAAGUCUCAAGGCUAGUUUCACACUCGGGGCUCCUUUUUUUGCCAUUUUCUCAUCCUGCAAGAAAGCAAGAUAUUAAUUACACAGCACCUUCUUCUGCAGCUUUUAUGCAAAGGUGCGAUAAUUGAGAGAAUUUAUCUGUCUUUGUAAGAAAUGAAAGACUAAAAAGCAUUAAGUAGGCAUUUAAACUACACUGGUGUGUGUAAAGCUGGGCUCAGGGAACAUAGCAAACAUUCUACAGCCUCCAGAGACACCUACAAAUUUUUGGUUCUGUAUUUGCCUUAUUGUCUCCCUUUAAAAGGCUUCUGUACUGUUGCUGCACAGCUUUAUUCAAAGUUACCUAUGGUGAGGAGGAGUAGAGGAUAACAUGGAUAGUAAUUAGGAAUCAAAAGAGGAAACAAAAGAAAAGGCCAAUAAUGCAAGACAAUCAUUAAGUGCCAAAUAUAAUUUGUCAAAGGUGUUCCUUCUAAAUUAGGUGGAGGCAGCAUUUUUUCAGAUCGAUACUGCCUCAGUGACUCCCCUACGGUUCUGGUGGCUUUUGGCUAACAAACAGGAAGAGUUGUGGUAUGCCCUAUGCAUAAACAACAAGGCCAAAGAAUUUAGUGGAUUAGUAGACCUUGCCUGUGGUCUGACAUCCCUGUAAAACUGAGAUGGGCAGUGUGCAAGGGCUGAAGCUGGCACAAAUCAUGUACAUGGCCUGAUCAGCUGCGAAGCUACCUCAUAGAUCAGUCACAGCCAGAAGUGCAAAGCUCCACAGCAAACUGAGCUCAGUAGUAAAUAUUAUCAAGGAGUACAUGCCCUGAUUCUUGGUGAUGUUAGUGGGAAAAUGUAUUGAAUUCAUUUGGAGUUUGAGCUGCCUGUUAGAGGAAGUGCAUUAAGUAUUUAACCCAGAUGUUGUCCAUCUUUAACCACACAUCCUACCCAGCCUGAUGCAUUUAAUUACCAAUAUAAGGUGUUAUUGCUGUGACUUAAUACUAUAUUAUAUUCUUAGUCAAUGCUACUAUGGUACAGCCAAAUACUGUGCUUUGUUUCAAAUAAAAAGGUGGGAAUAGAGAAGACAGGUGUCAUACAACAGAGGGGCAACUUCAUGAUAGGAAAUGGCAUUUUGAUUAAAUUUUCAGAGGGGCAUCGAUAUUCUUUGUGUUUCCUGUAUCAAAACAUCAUAGCAGCCAACUGACAGAAGCCAGGAGCUCAUUGUUUCUUAAGUGGUGUUUGUCAGACCUCACUGUGCAAUAGGAGUCCCUGACAACACGCUUCUUCAUCUGUGCAGAUGAAGCCCUUCUAGUCUAAGCAAACUAUAAAAACUUGUCCUUAGUCCAAAGAAACAGUCUUUGCACUGGAACCCAGGCAUCCUGAUUCACAGCCAGCACAACUUAAACUCAAGGCCAGACCCAACGUGCACCUCUGGUCUCUCCUAGAAGGAAAGAGUCGUACGUAGGCAUGCACAUCUACAAACCUGGGCAUCUGGCAGCCUCACACCUUCCUGAACACAGCUCUGCAGUAGGAAGGUGCAAAACAGCUGCAUUUUUCGUCAGGAGAAUAUGCUAAUUUUUGCUGUAACAACUGUAUAUAACCUGUCAGUUAUUCUCUCCAGUCUUGGGUUAACUUUAUCUGUGGUUGUGUUUAGAAGUCCCAGAUGAUUAUGUAAUAGGUGGAAGAUACCUAAUAAUAUAACAGGCCUUUUCUGAUUUUUUCUAUGGCUGUAUUAAUGUAAUUUCUUAGGUAUCAUUGUGUCUUUUUCAACGUCGAUCCAUUGUGAAUCAUGCAGACGCAGCAGUGAAAGAACAGAACCUGCUGCAGCCUGUGAGCAGCAAGAAAUUUCAGCUGGAUGACUGCAUAAGGGGUUUGCAAGACCGCCAGUAAUUUUUUAUAUUCAGAGUUAAAUAGAGCAAUAAGAUGGAAUUUAAGCUUUAGUGCAAUAGAUUGCAGCUCUUCAGUCAAUCAAAUUAUAGUUCAAUCAGUUCAUUUUAAUCACUUCUCUGGAGAGAAGUAAACCCCUAUGUUGAAGAAUAUGCAGCAAUUUUAUUGAUGGAAAGUUUAAUUGUUUCAUUUUUCCUUACCGUCUGUAACACACUAGACUUUUAAUCAGUGGGAACUGAAGUUAUAAUGAAGUAAAGUCCACUUUCCACAGUUCACAACUAGCUGAAAAUAAUUGGGUUGAGACUCCCAUCCAGACAGUGUAAUGCCUCUGGCAUUUUCCUGAAAACUACACUUAAUUGCUUUGCUGAUGUUGUUAAGUGGUCCUGAGGGGGAUGAAGUAGUAAAGCUGCCCACAUAUGCAGGGAAACAAUACACAAAAAAUGUCUUACAAGGUCCUUAAAGGAGGACCAACUAGUGACUAGAAGACAAUAUAUGGCUAUUUUUUCCCCCCUUUUCUAUACCAGAGAGAACACACGGGAGAGGCUGAUAGAAUAAACUGGAAAUUCUAUGAACACUAACAGUAUUUUUAUUUAAGGGCAUUAAGCUUGGGACCAGAAGUACAGAAAACGUCAGGGCAGAGCUCUUGCAAUCAAACCUGCAACUUGAGGCUAGCCUGAGUUGCUUGGCAGUUUUAUGCUGAACACUGGUUAGCUGCUGCCUGUCUUCAGCACCUUGGCUUGAGGAACAGAUGUACUCUUGUCCCCAGAGAGGGAGGACAGCUUGCUCUCUGUGCUCUGAAGUGACAGGAUGUGAGCCAGCUAUGAGCUGAAAGCCUUACCCAGGCAUCAGUGGGACCAGCGUGUGCACCCCGUUAGGCUCCAAAUGUAGCCAGAGAAGGAAUAACACUGGCAUUUCUCCUGAUUUAGGGCAUUCGUGGGAAACUCUCCCUGGUUGAAUUGUGAUUGUUUAAAAUGAUGAAUCAACUGCUAGGCUCAAGGAUAUUCUGAUGUAGAAAUAUGUUAGUUAUUUAAUAGAGAAAGAUAUGUAUUUAGGACCCACAAAUCAGGUAGUGUCCCUGAAUUCAAAAUCAGCGUUGGAGCUGGACCUGUUUUGGGGGAGCGAGGACUACAGGGUUAACUUAGCUUUUUUUAAGUAAGUGGGCUUUUUGGUUUUUUUUUCCUUGUUUAUUUACGUAUACGAGCACAGUAAAGUCUCUCUCUCAACAGCCUGACCUUCCUCAGCUGCUAUUUGUGUAAACUUCAGUAUGACCUUUGCUUAUUUUAUUCUCGCUUUCACAGGCUCUGAGCUGAACAAUUAUGUCCUCACGACUUUCUAGAAAGGAACACAGGCAAAAUUGAGGUAUUGUGCUCUAAAGCUGAAAUCUUAAAAGUUUUCUUAACCCUAUAUCUGAUCCUGGAGGCCCUCCAGAAUCUGUGAGUUGGUACCUCAAAUCUUGGCCAGCAUAGCUCUUCCAGCGCCCGAGAUGAUGCUCUUUCCCCUGAGACAUGCUGAAGUCUAGACAAUACCUUGACGUGUAACCUCAUAUUAGCCUGACUAUUCCCCAUAAUAUUAAUAAGCUUUAACACUUAUUUCUCCUAUGGUGAAAUGGUCACCUCCCAUGUGCUGGAACCGCCAACCAUAUGCCAAGGAGAUCAAGCUGUCAGAUUUGAGAAGAGCAUUGGGAGUAGUGCAUUGUGUCCAAUUCACUGUGCUCGCCUGCCUCUGGGAGAGCAGCUCAGCAGCUCAGUGGUUGUGCUCUGCUGUUCCUGGGUCCCGUUGCGCGUUCCUGAUAAGCCAUCUCAGAGGGGAUGAUACCAGCCUGAAUUCCCUCUACUUUCCUCUGGCAAAGAGACAGAUGUGUCUUCCUGCUGCAUGAUAUGAUGGCAACUCUGAGUGCUGGACCACGCUAUGGAAGACAAGUCUCUGCACUGAGGCACACCCCUAACCCCAGGGGAGGAAGGCUUUUGGUUCAAAAAGGCCAGAGAAGGAAUACCCUCAUGAAAAUCUGAGCCCCCAAAUACCUUGCCCUGCACAUAAUGAUCCUCUGUUUGGUGGAAGACUGACCCAGCCAAGU